GUCGUCUUCCAUAGACCCAGGAUUGAUGUUAAGCCCGUACAUUGUUAUGGGUCGAGUUGAGAAGCAUUUGGAACUUGCUGCUUUAAAGAGACAGAUAUGGAGCAAAGGCAGUCAGUCUCAAGGGUCAAAGGUGCAAUGUGCCUUUCAAAACACGACAACCAAACUGCUGAAUAUUGUCAAGAACAAAUUCUUAAUAGAUGUGCAGACGUUCUACAAAAAGAAGAACACAGCUAGAGGGACUCCAUAUACAAAGGUGCAGAAAAAACAAAAGGGAAGAAAUAAAAUUAAGAGACAACUGCAGUUUCAUCCGUAAUUUCCAAGAUGUUGUCCUCAGAUGAAACUCCAUGGAAAAGAAGAUAAGAAAAAGGAAUGGAAAAAGGUGGAAGAAUAUGUGCUUUGGACCUUGAUCUUUAUUGAAACCCAUCUGUGAACUAAAAUAACCAAAAGCUAACAGCUAGAUGAUAACAUUUUGCAUUUGACUCAGUGAAAGCAUUUCAGUUACAAUAGUUAUUUUUGGUAAGAGCAAGAGCGUUUUAUUUGUAUUAAAAAAUGCAUCUCUGAAAUGAUGCAUCCAAAACACAUACAGUGAACUUAUUGUUUAGCAGCGCAUUUAAAACACACCUUUACUUAUCAAUGUCAGUGGUUAAGAUAACCAACCUGCUAAACCUCUUAAUAAAUACCUUUUUUCAAAUAUCACCAAUAAGAAUGUGGUUAAUAACCAUUGGUAAUACAAAUAAAUAAGCUACUCGUUUCAGAGGAAAAAAAAAUAAAAACAAAAAGAGAGACAGUGGAAGGGAUAAAAUAAAGGGUAGGAAUCGCUAUUAAAACCUUACUAAAUACACUUUUAAGGGCGCUAUGUUCUUAACUCUUUUUGUCAAGUUUCUUGAUUACAAAGUGAACAUCACAAUUGGUGUUAAUGGUCAUCUUUUGUCAGGGGUCAGAGGGAAUGAACCUAAACCAAAAAGGGUGGUCCAUUCAGGGUAGGGAAGUUGCCAAUAUUGUACAUUAGUGUGAGAAAGCUGACACUACAGCUGCCCAUGCUAACCAGACAAUGCGGAUAGCGAGAGGACCUGUUUCUCCACUGCUCUUAAUCAAGCAGUACGUUCUGUUGGUGUCUGUUUAGUCACAGAGACGAGGUGAUUUCUACACCAAUGAUUAACAUAAAUCAAAUUAGACUUUUUUUUUUACUGACCUUGAACCCGUCUGAUACCUAUUGUUUAGAGAAUGGAAAAUGUUUUGUUUUUUUUCUAUCUCAAGUGUACGUUUCAGUACAAUGCAGUUUCAUUCCAACUCUUGUUUUGUAUAUAGAAAUGCUUCAAUCAGGGCAGUCUAACCAUCUGUAACCCAGGUGGGCCAUUCCUGUAGAUUUUUGUUCCACCCAAGCUCAACAAAAUGUCAGGGGUUGUUUAAUUGGAAAGCAAUGCAGAAUUAAGAUCAGAUUAGAAUGGCACCCGGGGAACUGCCCUGCUUCAAACUGUGCAUCAGGCUGUGUUUGCUUUCUGUAAGUUUUCUUUGCAUUUUUUUUUCUAAAGUAAUUAAUGUGAAUUUAAUGUUAAUACUGAUUAAAAUAAUUAUUCAGAGACAUGCGCGUCACUAUGUAUAAAAAGAAUAACUGAGCAAAGCUUGUUAUUUCAUGUUUCUGUGUCUGUGGAAACAAAACAAGUUCUCAUUUGGGGUCAUUCUGUUACAAAAUGUUUACAUGCAUUGUUGUUUUAUCAAGUUUUUAUUCAAAUCAGUUUUAUUGUAUCAGAUUUGUAUAACAUUUGUUUAACACAGACUUCAAGAAUUCUACAAUAUUGUGCACUGUUUCCUUUGUCCUGUUAUAAAAGUUAACAGUUGAAAUAAUAUUUACUACUAUUCAGAAUUGUAUUGAUCUAGAACUGACGUGUUGUUGUAUUGUGUUCAGCAGAAACAAGGCAGUACUAUAAAUAAAUUAAGUUUGCACUUUUUU